rnacentral:rRNA from 1 species
CCUACGGGUGGCAGCAGUGGGGAAUAUUGGACAAUGGGGGGAACCCUGAUCCAGCCAUGCCGCGUGUGUGAAGAAGGCCCUCGGGUUGUAAAGCACUUUCAGUGAGGAAGAACGCCUGGUGGUUAAUACCCAUCAGGAAAGACAUCACUCACAGAAGAAGCACCGGCUAACUCCGUGCCAGCAGCCGCGGUAAUACGGAGGGUGCGAGCGUUAAUCGGAAUUACUGGGCGUAAAGCGCGCGUAGGUGGCUUGAUAAGCCGGUUGUGAAAGCCCCGGGCUCAACCUGGGAACGGCAUCCGGAACUGUCAAGCUAGAGUGCAGGAGAGGAAGGUAGAAUUCCCGGUGUAGCGGUGAAAUGUGUAGAGCUCGGGAGGAAUACCAGUGGCGAAGGCGGCCUUCUGGACUGACACUGACACUGAGGUGCGAAAGCGUGGGUAGCAAACAGGAUUAGAUACCCCAGUAGUC